rnacentral:tRNA from 1 species
GGGGCCGUAGUUCAAUUGGUUAGAAUGCCGGCCUGUCACGCCGGAGGUCGCGAGUUCGAGUCUCGUCGGUCCCGCCA